UAAAAAUCUAAACCAAACACCCUCUCGAUUCCUCUCUGCAAUACAAAAGAGAUUUCCAACUUUCAAAUCUCAUCCCCUCAACACCCCUCUAACUCUCUCUGGUCGAGCACCUGGUCGGCGACCUGUGACAAGCAACGACGGCCGGUCACCACUGAAGGUGACCCGGCGAUGAUCGACGAAAAAAGGUAGCGGCCGGCAGUGGCCGGCGAACGAUUUCCAGCGGCGCUGCCGCCGCUACGGCGGUGGUGGCGGUAGAAUUUUCCGGCGAACAAAAGGCACCCCCCUCCUAAAUCAGACGUCCCGAGUUCAUUUCCGGCGUUGGUUUUUCGAUCGGAGCCAUGAAGGUGGUAGUUCAACAGAGGCAGCCGUGGUUCGAGUGUGUUAUUUCUCCGGGGUGUCGGCUGCCGACCGGCGUCGGAGUCACCUGCGGCACCGGUAACGACACAGCAGGCAAGUUGGAGUCCGGCUCAAGUUAGAUUUAUUUUAGUGGCACUUCGGGUCAGAUUCGGUUCAACAGUUUCGGGUUCGGUCAUGAGCAGGUCAAAGAUGGUCAAAAGUGGUCAGCCAGGUCGGUUCGGUUGGCGGUUCAUGGAUUCGGGUCGACUCUGUCAAACCGAGUCAACUCAGUUAACCCGGGUCAACUCAAUUGACUCGGUCAACUAGGUCAACUCAGCGAGUCAACUCGGUCAGCCCGGUUGACUCGGACAAGUCAACUUUCGAUACGAGAUUUUUGGUAAAGUUUUAACGGUGAACACAUUGAUUUUGUAUUGUCUUUAUAUUAUUACUGUGAAAAUGAGCUCGAACCGAUUCGGAUUAGCAUUAGAUUACAUUUUAUCGUUCUUACAA
rnacentral:lncRNA from 1 species